AUUGAACGCUGGCGGCAUGCCUAACACAUGCAAGUCGAACGGUAGCAGGUCCUUCGGGAUGCUGACGAGUGGCGGACGGGUGCGUAACGCGUGGGAAUCUGCCCAAUAGUGGGGGAUAACCCGGGGAAACUCGGGCUAAUACCGCAUACGUCCUACGGGAGAAAGCAGGGGACCUUCGGGCCUUGCGCGGUUAGACGGACCGAUGUUCGAUUAGCUUGUUGGUGAGGUAAUGGCUCACCAAGGCGACGAUCGAUAGCUGGUCUGAGAGGAUGAUCAGCCACACUGGAACUGAGACACGGUCCAGACUCCUACGGGAGGCAGCAGUGGGGAAUAUUGGACAAUGGGCGCAAGCCUGAUCCAGCAAUGCCGCGUGUGUGAAGAAGGCCUUCGGGUUGUAAAGCACUUUUAUCAGGAACGAAAUACCACGGGUUAAUACCCUAUGGGGCUGACGGUACCUGAGGAAUAAGCACCGGCUAACUUCGUG
rnacentral:rRNA from 1 species